UGCUUAAGAUCCACGCAGUAUUCCUGCUUCCAUGCUGUCACCUUUAACAGCUUUAGGUGAUUCCCUGGAGAAUCACAGACUGCAGAGCAACUGCACUUUUGACAGGUGUCUAGAACUCCGCUGCCUUGGCCUUAUUAAAUUUUAUUCAUCCAAGUCCUUACAGAUAGACUGUUUGAUAACAGAGUCCUUUCCAGUAAACGGAUGGAGGUUAACAUCCUCACACAGUUGGAGGUCAGAGGAUAACCAAGUGGGUCCUGAACACUGAAAUCCUGGAAUCCUUGUCGAGUUUGGCAGCGAGGGCCCUUGCCGGUUCCCUUUCCAGGAUCUGCCCCUCAUUUCUGACAUUUUGUUUUCUAAGUGCACUAAUCAAUUUGUCUAGAUCAAGAUCAUCCUGUCCUGAUGCCAGUGGUCUGCUGCCAUGACCAAUCAUUCAUGAGGUUGGCAUCAGUUGGAGGCUUCCUUCUGCUCUGUGCGGCUGGCCGCUAAGGGAAGCAGAGAAUCCUUAACAGUCCUUUGUCCCAAAAAGAGAAGAAGGGUGAUCCCCGGAGCUGCCUUUAAAAAGAAGUCCAUGGCUGUCUUUCAGAAACUCAGGACAACUUGUUUUCAUUUCUUUAAUAAUUUUUAGUAUAAACAGUGCUACACAGUG
rnacentral:lncRNA from 1 species